rnacentral:rRNA from 1 species
GGGCGAAAGCCUGACGGAGCAACGCCGCGUGAGUGAUGAAGGUCUUCGGAUCGUAAAACUCUGUUAUUAGGGAAGAACAAACGUGUAAGUAACUGUGCACGUCUUGACGGUACCUAAUCAGAAAGCCACGGCUAACUACGUGCCAGCAGCCGCGGUAAUACGUAGGUGGCAAGCGUUAUCCGGAAUUAUUGGGCGUAAAGGG